GGAAAAUGUAUGGUCACUGGUCUAGUCUGCACUCCCAGAAAGGGCCUUUGGUCCCCAGCAGUCACCAACACUAGCACUAGCACUCUCUUUGUCUAGGAACUGAGACUUGGACUUCUGCUCCUUUGCGCUAGAGCAACAUCCCUCCUUCUCGGCCCAGAAACUAUGGCCCAAAACUAUGUAUGGGCAAUAGAGUUACUAAUCAGCAUCAAUUUUAUCUAGUGACAGCAAAGGGAUUCCUAUAAUCUCUUUGUGACCAGUUGUCCAAGCCUCUUCCUAUUUCUGAGCUGAUAGCUCCCAAAGCUACUAUUAUAACAGUUGUUGCCACUGUGGUACAUGUGGACUCAUGGCAGACCUACAACUCUGUACCACAAAUUUUUCCUGUCAAUCUAAGUUUUCUUAAGCUGAAAAAAUUAUCUUGUUCCAAACCUUUUGUUGGCAUUGCCAUUCCUAAAUUAAAUUUGAGGUGUCAUUAAAGUUGUUUAAAAUGGAAUGUUGGAGGAGUUUAGUUGAGUGGCUGCUUCUAAUCCAUAAUUUUGAUUCCCUCUCCUCCAUUAUGAAAGCAAAUUUUUAAGAAAAGCAAUCUAACUCUUCUUUCUCCAACUGCCACUUAUAAGAGGUAUAACCUCUUAUAAUUUAGCCUCUGGCCCCACCACAGAACUGAGACUGUUCUUUCAAAGGUUAACAAUGAUCUCAAUACUAUUUCCUCUAUGAUUUUCUAUAUUACAUACUCAUAUAUUAACCAAAAUAAAAAUAACCUUUGAAAUUUUAUUAUUGAUAUUAAACUUUAUACUAUGUAUGUGUGUAUACACUCAUAUAUGUGAAAAAAAUUUAAAGAACUUGGUAGACUAAAAUUAUCAUCAGUUAGUCUUAGAGCAAGAUGAUGCUAAUUAAGUCUAUUAGUUCAUAUCAAAAAUACUCAGAAAAUCAUUCACAUAAAGUGAUUUAAAGAAUUCCUUGCUAAAUAUAGACUCCUAGUACUGAAGUUUUUUGCUACUUAUUUGUAUGUACAGGAAAAUCAUGACCUUUCCAAGGACUUCGAGUCUAAAAUUUUCCUGUGAUCAAUGAGAAUCAAGAGGACGACAAGGCAAAAAUUCUGAAAAGAAGGAAGUUAAAGAAUUCACUACUGAAAUCUGAAAAGGCAAUAAUGCCUGCCCUUUUGCCUUUUUCAAUGUCAGGUAAUGUCCUCUCUGUUUGGAGGGCACUGAGCUGCUUUUUGGUCCACAGCUUUCAGUAAACUAUUGAAAGGCAGAACCACCAGGACAGGCAACCUAAUUUUCAUGACAAGCAUAGCACCCCAAUAUUGUUAAAUGGUGCCACUUUCUGUCUUGUCACUUGGGCUUAUGCAACAACACAAAUUGGAAUUGGAUGGAACUUAUCCCCUUUUGG